rnacentral:rRNA from 1 species
CCUUGGUCACAGAAGCGACUUGCCGUUUCCUCUUCGUAACAGAACCCCACUGGAACAGAACAGCCCACAUCCAUCCUAUCCCACCUCCACGCAAAUCUCAUCCUCUCCCACAACCAGGAUUAUUUCCCCUUUAUCUUCUCCUCUAUGGCUCCACUCAGGAAACAAAUCACCAUCUUCAUCUCCGCAUCAGCCGUUGCACAACUACGGGAAGAUCCUCACCUUCAGAAGUGCCGGGGGUGCUGAUGGCGUCGUACCGCUGCUGGACAAGCCUUCGUUGGUCGUCGCCGGCAGAGCCGCACGCUGCUGCCGAUUCAGUCCACGUAAUCACCGCCCUUAAAUUGAUUCUUGCUGCAGAUGAAUCGAGCCCCGCGCCCCGAUGUCCACCAAAGCUCCCGAUGAGUCACAUGCGCCACCAUCGGCUUCCUCCUCCAACAUCACCUGCACCAAAGGAAGCCUUUUUCAGAAGAACAUCCCUGCUCCGUCUCCAGGCACCUUCUCUAUGGCCGCAAGUUCCGCAAGUUUCUCUCACCUACGAUUCCUCUCUAACUGAAGCACGAUCCGCAAGAAUGUGUCAACAUCCGAUGGAUCAUGAUGAUCUCUCUGAUCCGGUUGGUUUUGAUCGGAAACGAUAGAUGUGCAAUUCAUUUUCAGGUUCAAAACUAAGGUUUUGUUUGUUAGCUGCUAGGAAUUUCGGAGGUUCCAUUAACAAAUCACGUGUAUUGCAUCCGAAAGGAGGCAAGGAGCUCUAUAAUUACAGUUAGUGUUUUCUUUCUCCUUUCAAAUUGAUCAUACAAGAUUACUCCUCUAGGACAUAACAAGUACAAAAUGCAUUUAGCAUUUCUCAAUGGCUACUCUUAUGGAGUAUUGACAAUUUUCUAUAGUAAUAUAAUUAUUGACCUUAUGGAGUUUAAUUAGUUCCAUGCAAGAAUUUCUAGGGUUGCUUAAUUUGUUUCAUUCAAUAUAGUUGCUUGAUGAUGAACCUAUUUUGUGGAAAGAAGUUCAAUGUGCAUCAAGGUUAACCUCGAGAUCCAGAUUUUCUCAAGAAUAAGUUUAGCAUGUAAUUCACAAUUUCUAGAACAUGAUUGUUCAUAAAAAAGCAUAAUAUAUUCCUACAUGAUUUUUUACUACAGUUCAAUGCGAUAAAAUUCUAUUUUACAUAAUAUCCACUAUAUCUAGCUUGGUAUGCUUCCAUCCUCUAUCUUAUGGAAUGGUCUAUUUCCACUUUCCAGUUAUCACGAUGCUCCUACCGCCUUUGUGCUUUUGUUUAUACUACUGUGAAUAAUUCUUAUAGAAUUUGAGUUUACAUGCCAAUCAAUCAGUGUUUAAGUGUCGUGGGUUUCAAGAAAAUUCUCCAUAAACUAAACCAGAAGGAUGAAAAUAGAUAUUUGUAAUUUUAUUAAAUAAUGAUAUGCAUAUAAUAUUUGUCAUGUGGGAAAUUGAGUUUUAAAUUAACUAUUUGCAUCUAAUCAAGGUGGCACAACCACCGAAAUGUUUACUCCAGGUACAUGUCCCUAUCACUCACACUUCUGCAUAAGAAAUUGGUAUUUUUUUUCAUAAAAUUUGCUAGAGAGAUUAUUAUUGCUACUGCAUUGCUGUAUCUUUUUUUCAUUUAUGCGAUUCACCCAUGCUAAAUAAAUACGAAUUUCGAAUGUCACAUGGUUUCAUACUCCCAGUCAUGUCCUUUUUUUAGGGAAUCCCAGUCAUGUCCUUAAUGUGUCUUUUCUCUUACUAGAUAUUCACUUCAGAUAUGUAAUAGUAUAGCCCAUACUCAAAUAAUGUAUUUCCUGUUUUUUGAAGGUGUGUGUUUUGUUCUAUCAAAUUUGUGAUACAUUAUAAUUUACAGGUUUCUAAUGGUUUUGGUGUUUGUUCAACUGAAUGCUCUACCUGACUACACCUCCCUCCCAGGGACAAGAUGUACGAGUGUGAUGAUAAAUAAGCAAAUAAGGGCGUUGAGAUGUUUCUGGUUUGGAGAUAGAUGCUAGAAUAGUAACCAAUGUUCAGUUUUCAAGCACGCAUGUGUAACUACAAUCGAACAAUUUUCUCUAAGGCUAAGCACUUAGAUAUGAUCUCUUCAAACCUAUUGCUUCACUUGAAAAAUGUAAGAACAUUAGUUUUCUGAUUGUUCUGGUAUUGACAGACAUCCAAGCCUAAAAGGUCUAUCCUCACUGAGAGAAUCAAGUACGACCCCUUUUGUAUCCUUCUGUCUAAUUGUACUCUGUUGCGUGGCACCCUAUUAAAUAAGAUGUAAAUGGAGCAUAUAUGUUGUUACUCAGGAACCAUUCUAUUUUUCCACCUUUGGAUAAUAGACAAC